AGUGAACGCUGGCGGUAGGCCUAACACAUGCAAGUCGAACGGCAGCACAGUAAGAGCUUGCUCUUACGGGUGGCGAGUGGCGGACGGGUGAGGAAUACAUCGGCAUCUACUUUUUCGUGGGGGAUAACGUAGGGAAACUUACGCUACUACCGCAUACGACCUACGGGUGAAAGCAGGGGAUCUUCGGACCUUGCGCGAUUGAAUGAGCCGAUGUCGGAUUAGCUAGUGGUCGGGGUAAAGGCCCACCAGGGCAACGUGCCGUAGCUGGCCUGAGGGGAUGACCAGCCACACUGGACCUGAGAAACGGCCCAACCCCCUACGGGAGGCACAGGUGGGGAUUUUUGGACAAGGGGCGCAAGCCUGCGCCAGCCAUACCGCGUGGGUGAAGAAGGCCUUCGGGUGGUAAAGCCCUUUUGUUGGGAAAGAAAAGCAGCAGGUUAAUACCCCGCUGUUCUGACGGUACCCAAAGAAUAGGCACCGGCUACCUCCGG
rnacentral:rRNA from 1 species